CAGCCGCCGCGGUAAUACGUAGGUGGCAAGCGUUGUCCGGAAUUAUUGGGCGUAAAGGGCUCGCAGGCGGUUUCUUAAGUCUGAUGUGAAAGCCCCCGGCUCAACCGGGGAGGGUCAUUGGAAACUGGGAAACUUGAGUGCAGAAGAGGAGAGUGGAAUUCCACGUGUAGCGGUGAAAUGCGUAGAGAUGUGGAGGAACACCAGUGGCGAAGGCGACUCUCUGGUCUGUAACUGACGCUGAGGAGCGAAAGCGUGGGGAGCGAACAGGAUUAGAUACCCGAGUAGUCCCUGUCUCUUAUAC
rnacentral:rRNA from 1 species